AGGUUUUGUUAUUUUUUUUUACAGAUUCCCCUAGAAUCAUAAACCAUUAAGUUUUGAGUCGUACAACUGAUCUGUGUUUCUAAACAUCAGCGGAAUUUGUUUCAAAUAUCAAGAUGCCAGUGCCAGGAGCAGACCCCGCAAAGAAAAUCCUGAAAAAGAAAGUAGUGAAGAAAGUGGUUAAAAAACGCAAGGAAAGCGUGGCAGAAAAAGCACCCGCAAAGGACGUAGCCCCAAAAGCUGAAGAAAAACCUGUUCCAGCCCCAGAACCUGUAAAAGUUGAUAAACCAAAAGAAGCCCCAGUUGUCGUUGAAACUUCUGAAGUCAAAACUCCUGAAAAACCAACGGAGGAGACGCCAGUGACAAACGGGAUCGUCGAAGCUCCUGAAAAUGCAACUACAACUGAAGGCGUGGAGGUUACGGUCCGAGUAAAAGUGAUGCACAUUGACGUGCUGCAUGCUAUGAAAGUUAUUUGGAUCAAAGGGAAAUGGAAAGAGUUGACAAAGGGCGACAGAUAUGACAUGUGGUGCAACGAACGCACUGGGGAACAUUUUUUAAAGUUUCGUCAGCCCAAAGUUUCUGAUGGUGGCAGUUACAAAGUGAAAGCCGUGUCGCCUAUUGGGGAAAAUGAGGCGUCUUUUAACGUGGCCGUUGGACCUCCAGUGGUUGAAGAACACAAAAUUGAAAUCAAGAAAGGAUAUGUCCCUGAUGAAAAAGAUGUCUUAAAGGAUGUAGACUUCCGAAACCGACUCAAGAAAGUGCAAAAGAGCAUUGCUGCGGGUGGCUUAAGUGAGCGCUUACGUAAGGAAGAAAGUUCCGGCAAAUUCGACAUUUGGUCUUUGCUGAAGACUGCAUCUACUCGCGACUAUGAGUCGAUUGCGUUCAAGUUUGGAAUCCCAGACAUGCGUAUUAUGCUACGAAGACUUUCGCAAAUGAGUAAACUGGCCAACAAGAAGUGCCCGUCAUUUACCAAAAAGCUUCCCGAAAGUCAUUCUCUUAAUCUUGGUGAAAAGUUGGUACUUGAAGCAGAGGUGGCUAACGAGCAAAUGACAGUAAAGUGGCUCAAAAAUGGCAACGAAAUUACCCCAGGGAAGGGUUACCAGAUUGUAACUAAAGCGAACAAGAGAUACUUGAUGAUUGAUCAAACCUCCAAGGAUGACGAUGCCACUUAUACUUGUGUGGUUGGUAAAGAUGUAACUGCGUGUGAGGUGUUCGUUCAAGAACCACCAGUCACCAUUGUAAAGGGAUUGGAGGACGCUCAAAUCGCAUGUGGAGAAACUACCGAAUUUUGCUGCGAGAUCUCUAACGAGAACGGCAAAUUUCGCUUCCUCAAAGACGGUGUUGAUAUUCCGUCCAACGAUCGGUUCAAAGUAAAGAAAGAAGGCGUGAAAGUGACUUUAACUAUUACUGAGGCUGUGAUAGAAGACGAAGGAUUCUACCAGUUCAUGACUAACGGAAGCUCAAGUUGUUCCGAGUUGUUGGUGCAGGAACCAGCUGCUGUGUUCACUCGGGCUUUCUCUGACCUUAAAGUAAACUUCAAAGAAACUGCGGAGUUUUUCUGCGAAGUCUCAAAUGAAACCACGAAGGGAAAUUGGUUGAAGGACGGCAAGCCAAUGAAAGCUGAUGACCGAGUUAAGAUUACUGAGACCGGUAAAGCUCGUAAGCUUGUCAUAUCCGGCGUGAAAGAUUCCGACCAAGGUGAAUACACUUUUGCUGCAGAAGAUAACCCAACAUGCUCCAUUACUGCUGCGCUUGAAAUGACUGGUGGACAUAUCACCGUUGAACGAAAGAAGGCUCCUCCCAAAAUCUUCUUGGAUCACUCUUUAAAAGAUAGAUCCAUUCAAGUUAGAGCUGGUAACAAGAUCAAGUUAGACAUUCCCAUCUCUGGGGAACCCGCACCAGUACCCGAAUGGAAAAAAGGACCUAAGGACGGGAAGCAGAUUCAACUAGUUCAAACCGGAAAACGGGUUUGGACCAACACAAGCACUGAGCAUGGCAUCACUUCGCUUGUCAUCGUCGAUUCUCACCUCGAGGAUAGUGACGAAUAUUAUUGUGACUUGGUUUGGGACAAAGAAAAGCUUGAAGGCGGAGACUCUGAAUAUAUUAAACGACAAGAAAUUCAGUUUAAACUUCAAUUUGUUGACGUACCAAGUGCACCAACUGUCCCAAAGGUAUCAAACGUGACAGCAGAAACAUGUUAUGCUGUUUGGACUGGACCUUCAUGCAACGGCGGUUGUGAAAUUAAGGGUUACGUAAUGGAGAGAAAGAAGACGAAAUCCGAGAGAUGGAUUCGUCUUAACUUCGACCCUCUGCAAGGAGUAGAAUACGAAGCAAGAAGAAUGAUUGAAGGGACGGAAUACCAGUUGAGAGUACGAGCUGUGAAUGAGGUUGGGGUUGGAGAACCAAGUCCAGCUUCUAUACCGUUCACUCCUCUCGCACCUUGUAGCGAGCCCAGCGGUUUUAAAGUAUCUGCCGCCACUGACGACAGCUUGGAGCUAUCAUGGCUUCCACCAGCGGACAUAGGAGCGGCCGGUCUCGACGGAUAUCUGCUUGAACAACAACUUGUCGGCGAAGAAGACGAAAAAUGGACAACCGUCCAAUCAAACGGAGGUCUAUUACCCAACAACACCUCUAAAAUCCUCAUGGAUAAACUGGUCACUGGAAAGAAAUACCGUUUUCGGUUGGCAGCAAUCAACAAAGCUGGAUCCAGCGGUUUCACUGAGAUUGGUCCUGUUGUGUGCGCUGCAGUAGUCGAGGAGGCAAAGAUCGUUCUUCCUCGUCAUUUACUCAAGCCAGUAAAGGUCAAAGUUGGCGGAAAGCUUCACGUUAACGUGCCAUACCAGGGACGACCAAAGCCUCAACUCACAUGGUCUAAAGAAGGAAAGGCUCUCGAAGAUCACGUUGCUGUUCGAAACUCUCUCGAUUCCUCCGUCCUCUUCAUCAGAACAGCUGAGAGAUGGGAUUCUGGCAAAUAUGAUCUACAACUUAAAGUCGGAGAUGAUGUUGUUGGAGCCAAAGUGGAAGUGGCAGUGAUUGACAUUCCUUCCAAACCUCGCCAAGUUAAACUUGUCGAAGUUGUCGGGAAUUCUGCUUCUCUUAAGUGGGAAGAACCGAACGAUUCGGGCAACACUGAAAUACUUGGAUACAUUGUGGAGAAACGAGACGCACGAAGCGACGACUGGUACGUCGUGUAUGACAAACUCCGACAUAAGCAGUGCCAAGUAAGCGACCUUGUACUUGGGAACAACUAUUUCUUCCGGGUGAGAGCUUUUAAUGAAGUGGGAACCGGAGAGUCAAAUGGAACCAAAGACAGCGCUAACAUACCUAAAGAAAAAACCGUGUACAAGAAACCCGACUAUGCUCCCAUGGACUUCCGUAUGAAACCUGAAUUUACCCAACUUCUAAACGGUCGACGCAUCGUGGAAAACUACAACGGUACACUCAGCUGCGCCCUUAAAUGCAACCCCCGCCCUAAAAUCAAGUGGUUUAAGAACAAAAUUGAAAUCAUUGACAACCCGAAGUACAAGAUGACGCAAUCCAUGGGCAUUGUGCAACUGGAAAUUCGGCGGGCACGAGCAGGAGACGCUGGCAAUUACACGGUGACAGCAAUCAAUGAACUGGGCGAGGCCUCGUGUUCUGCUGAAGUCACCGUCAAGGAGCUGAAAUGACCAACGAAUACCACGCCCGCCUUACGAGUCAAAUCAGACGGCGCACAACAAGCGAAGGCGAGCUAAACCGGACAGGAUAACCGACUUACGAAAUUCGAGAGUGAUUUUCCGGUUUGGUAAAUCGUUUACAGCAGAAAAUUGCGACACUUUAUCCGCGAUUACGAACGUGACUUAGAAUUUAGUUACGACCGGGCAUGAGACGAAAGUCGGCGCCACUCGGGUCUUUACCAAGGUGAUAACGUGCAAGAAAUUCCGGACGGCAGUUUGGUUAGCUUUUCCAAAUAUUUGCAUGUCGGUUCCCCAGGCUAACGAGCGAAUAAAUUGAUUUUGAACAAGCAUUAAUUCACAGUGUAUUGUGUAAGUGAAUGACAGGUGUGUGAUAAGGAUUAUGUGUCAUACUAACCUCCUCAUUAGGAAUGCUGCAAAAGUGCGCGGAUAAUGUUUUCCUUAGUGUUGUUCAAAUUUUACUGGUGCUGUCCAAAAAGUACCAAAACCUAAUGCGACUUUACAAACAUAUUGCAAUGGUUACUGUGCGUGUUUGUUCUCAUAAAAGUACCGGUGGCCUAGCACUGCAAGAGUUACGUACAUCAAAUUCCGAACAUGAAAGCGAGUAAAACCGCCCGCUGUGGUUCUUAUUCUACUUUCUAAACCCUCGAGCGAAGCGUGGGCGUUCUGGACCGGCCAAUCCCUUUCUAUUGGCCACUCCAGCGGAAAAAGAAACUCACUCAUACUGUGAUUGGAAUGCGUUCAGUGAACGGACAUAAGGGUGCUUAUAAAACCCCUUCCAACCUGUCUAUAAUUUCCGGUAUAGUGUGUGAUGAAUCACAUAAGCCAGCUACGGGUUUAAAGCGUUGAUUCGUGUGUCGGUGUUUCCAUCGUAACGCUUCCGCAACUUCCCUUAUGUUAUCGCGCUAACGUUAACCCGUUGCUACGCUACAUAGACAUAAGUUAACGCAGCUUUCCAAAACGUUACCACAAUGACGUAAUCGAAAAACUCUGCCUUUGUGACGCUGUACAGUCCAAAACAUGAGGCUUGCCAAUCGCAACAUGGCUUACACAAUAAACAGUCGAUAAAGAGACGAUACGCGAGUAUUGGUUUUGUUUGUUGUGCGCUGGAAACGAUUUCUAUUUAUUUUCAGCCGUCGGACGUGGCGACAGUUGCUUUGAACGGCAGAGUACAGACAGAUCCCCGCGGGGUCUUGGGCCGUCGGUUUACAGUGACAACCGUUUCCCAUGUGCCACACAUAUCAAAUAAUCGCCUAAUUAGACAUGCCGAUAUAU